AUGUGCCAAACGUGCCACACGCCAAGCGUCUCGAGUGCUCUCUCACAUACACACGCCCGCGCGCGCACACUCACGUGCACGCACGCACACCCAUACACGCGCACACUCACGUGCACGCACGCCCGCCCAUACACGCGCACACAUGCACGCACACGACCGCCCAUACACGCACACACAUGCACUCACGCACACACAUGCACACGCAAGCGCACACACGCACGCACUCGCGCACGGCGGCGGCGAGUCCCCACAGGCUCCCAGGGCCGACCCCGGACACCUCCCACCUCCUUCCAGGGAUCAGGGCCAGGAAGUGCCCGCGUCUGGCGGGGCGCGUCUUCCCUGCCUGGCGCCAAGCGCCCCCCGACCCCCGAGCAGCUCCCCUACAGCCCCGCGCCCGCGGCCGCCCGGCGGGACCGCUCCUACCUCGGGCCCUUUGUCCUCCAGUCGCCGUUGGCCCGCACCCGACCGCCCGCCGCCGAUGGAGGCCAGCCCAGCCUCCAGGCUGCGCUGGCGGCCGCAGAGCCCGGCCCCGCACCCGGCCCGGUCCCCGGCCCUGGCCCCGGACGAGGAGCGGGGCGCUCGGCAAAGCCCGGAUCUCCGGAGCCGCGGCCGGCGCGGAAGACUCGACCCCUGACACCGGCCGCCCCCUGUGAUCCACUUCUCCGGGUCUUCGGGGCGGCCGAGCCCACCGCCCGGCCCUCCUCCGCGGCCGCCCCUGGACCUCCGCCGGGGAAGGGUCGGGGAGGGCGCGGGCCCCGCACCCCCAGAGGCGCCCGGCGGGGGGCGCAGGUGACAGGGACUGAGGGGAGCCCCCGCGCACUCCCGCCCGGGUUCGCGCCCCGGACCUGGAACCCCAGGUUUACCCUGACCCUCCCGCCCUCGUUCCCAACAAAGACGCGCUCCCGGCUCCGGCGCCCCAGGGAAGGUCGCCGAGCCCGGCCGCCCUGCCCGCUUGUCCUGCCCUGGCGGCUGCCAGGUCCCAUCCCGCGCCCACCUGCGUGGGUUCAGAAAGAUGGAAGGAACCUCGUGGGUUCAGAAAGAUGGAAGGAGCCCUGA
rnacentral:lncRNA from 1 species